CCAUGCCCCUUUCUCCAGCUAUAUACUUCAACGUAGUCCUGGCGAAUGAUACAGGUUCUGUAAAUGAAGUCAAGAAAUUCAAACCACGCAAUAUAAACAAAUAAAAGCACGAGAGAGAGAGAGAGAGAGAGAGAGAGAGAGAGAAAGGGAGGACGAGGAAGGGAGGGGGAGGGAGAGAGAGAGAGAGAGAGAGAGAGAGCUGUCAGUCAAUUAUGAAGAUAAAGUAUGGCUUCAGUUACCUGAACACUUUGGGUCAUAACAUAAUCUCUUAUCUGAUAGUAUGGACGAGCAUUCUGUAUCGCAAAGUUCCACAUCACUAUCAACACAGAGUGUUACAGAUUUCAACGCGCAUCGUCGUUCACCACAAACUAUUUCACACAUAGACAACUCGCCAUCUACAAAAAGAAUCUGCGCAGAGGAAGAGGAAGAAACUCGAAUUCUGAUUGGUCCAUCGAUCGACAAGACAAAAAAUUAGAAAUAAGACGUUUCGUAUGGCACAUCAUAAUACUUUUCGAGAAAUAUUAUAUACAACUGAUUAUAUAAUUCGUUAUAAUUAUAAAUGCGUUUUUUUUAUAUUAUCAAUAACAAUGUCUUAAAGUCGUAGCUGAUUGAUUAGAUAUCAAAGUCAACUGAUCGUCCAUUUUUAUCGAUUAUUUCACGAAAUAUAUAUUGAUAUUAUUGAGAUACGCAUUAUACUUUUCAAUAAUUUUAUUUUUAACUUUUAAAAUAUGCGUAUUAACGAAUUAGGUAACAACAAGAUAAUAUAAUAAAAGUUUCAUGGUACGAUGAUAUACGGAAAAAAUUUUAUUAUUUUCACGUUUACAAUCUUUUUUUCUACAUGACUAGAUUAUAAGAAGCAAUUAAAAAGUCACGUUUUCAAAACGGCAUCGUCUAUUAUGCACUUUUGCACAAAUUAUAUAUGUAAACCACAUAUGUAUUUGUAUUGUACAAUCAAUGAUUUUGGUUUAUGUAUAAUCAUUUUAAAUCAUUGUAUUAACGGUCUUGUGUAAGAUGCAAGACUUUAAUGGAAUGUCAUAAUGUUAAAAAUGUGAAAAGUAGGAAUGCAAUGACAAUACGAUAAAAGUUUGAAUAAAAAGAGAAUUAAUCAUAUUACAAUAUUUCAUUUAACAAUCGAAUGUUCAUUAUCAUACUUCUUGACUAAAUGAUCGUUUACAUGCUAAUAUAAAUAAAUGAACACAGCACAUAUAAAACGGCGUUUAAAUUUUCGUCAUCGUAUAAGGAAAUAUGAAAUAUGUCUUUUCAUAGAGGAUAUUAGAAUUAUUUUUAAAAAGAAUACAAGAUGUACUUUCUAUUUGUACUUUUAAACCGACACAAACUUUUAUUCCAAUCAGUUCUUUUAAAAUAUCUGAAAAUAAUAAGAACGUUUUCUUAUAUCGUGCAUCAAUUAUUGUUACGUUGCGGAAAGUACGCUUUCAUGAAAGCUAGUUAAUUUUUAAUUUUCUUUUUAAUAUGAUCAGUAAUACACA